AGGCGCCGGGCACCGACAAGAGACAGUUUCUAGGGGGAAGAACGAAGACUCCCAAGUGCUGUUGGAAGCCUCCUCGCCCCCUGAGUCCAUCACCUGGGGAAAGUAAGGAAGGGGGCUGGGAACACAGAAAUUCCGGAGAGUCGAGGGUGAACUGAGUCUGUGGCCUUCCAGAGCUGCAGUUUGGAGGGAGUCUCAUCAUCUACUAGGCCUUGAGGGAGCCCUAGAAGGCAGGUCCAAAGAAAAAGCAGCUCAGCUUCCAUGACCAGCUGUGGCCAUCCCUACAGUGACCGAGUUCCCUCAGCCAGCCUGACAUUGCGGAUGCUGCUGCAAGGAUGACGCUGAUGAUACUGGAUGAAACUUAGGGCCGUUGGGGAGGCGGAAGCGGAUGAGGAGUCUCUGUGCUUGCUCACCCCGGGCCAGAUCUCAGUGAUCCAGAGCGAGGAGAGGGUCUUCAGCUCGGAAGGCUGUGCCUAUCUCUGACUUCUGAAUGUCCGGCUUCCGCCUCCCAUCUAACUGGAUGCCAGCGUCCAGCCAUCCUGCUGGACGCGGGGGAGAAGCCCCAUUUUACCGCUCGACGAGAGGACAGAGCCUGGCAGCCCCUGAGAUAAGUGUGGCUGUUGGGUAAGGAGCCCAAACCACCUGAAGGCCCGCGCUAGCACAAGGAGUGGCCGGGGGCCCCCGCGGAGGGAGCCGGCGGGGCGGGGCGGGGCCGC